GGUUAAGCGACUAAGCGUACACGGUGGAUGCCCUGGCAGUCAGAGGCGAUGAAGGACGUGCUAAUCUGCGAUAAGCGUCGGUAAGGUGAUAUGAACCGUUAUAACCGGCGAUUUCCGAAUGGGGAAACCCAGUGUGAUUCGUCACACUAUCAUUAACUGAAUCCAUAGGUUAAUGAGGCGAACCGGGGGAACUGAAACAUCUAAGUACCCCGAGGAAAAGAAAUCAACCGAGAUUCCCCCAGUAGCGGCGAGCGAACGGGGAGCAGCCCAGAGCCUGAAUCAGUGUGUGUGUUAGUGGAAGCGUCUGGAAAGGCGCGCGAUACAGGGUGACAGCCCCGUACACAAAAAUGCACAUGCUGUGAGCUCGAUGAGUAGGGCGGGACACGUGGUAUCCUGUCUGAAUAUGGGGGGACCAUCCUCCAAGGCUAAAUACUCCUGACUGACCGAUAGUGAACCAGUACCGUGAGGGAAAGGCGAAAAGAACCCCGGCGAGGGGAGUGAAAAAGAACCUGAAACCGUGUACGUACAAGCAGUGGGAGCACGCUUAGGCGUGUGACUGCGUACCUUUUGUAUAAUGGGUCAGCGACUUAUAUUCUGUAGCAAGGUUAACCGAAUAGGGGAGCCGAAGGGAAACCGAGUCUUAACUGGGCGUUAAGUUGCAGGGUAUAGACCCGAAACCCGGUGAUCUAGCCAUGGGCAGGUUGAAGGUUGGGUAACACUAACUGGAGGACCGAACCGACUAAUGUUGAAAAAUUAGCGGAUGACUUGUGGCUGGGGGUGAAAGGCCAAUCAAACCGGGAGAUAGCUGGUUCUCCCCGAAAGCUAUUUAGGUAGCGCCUCGUGAAUUCAUCUCCGGGGGUAGAGCACUGUUUCGGCAAGGGGGUCAUCCCGACUUACCAACCCGAUGCAAACUGCGAAUACCGGAGAAUGUUAUCACGGGAGACACACGGCGGGUGCUAACGUCCGUCGUGAAGAGGGAAACAACCCAGACCGCCAGCUAAGGUCCCAAAGUCAUGGUUAAGUGGGAAACGAUGUGGGAAGGCCCAGACAGCCAGGAUGUUGGCUUAGAAGCAGCCAUCAUUUAAAGAAAGCGUAAUAGCUCACUGGUCGAGUCGGCCUGCGCGGAAGAUGUAACGGGGCUAAACCAUGCACCGAAGCUGCGGCAGCGACACUAUGUGUUGUUGGGUAGGGGAGCGUUCUGUAAGCCUGUGAAGGUGUACUGUGAGGUAUGCUGGAGGUAUCAGAAGUGCGAAUGCUGACAUAAGUAACGAUAAAGCGGGUGAAAAGCCCGCUCGCCGGAAGACCAAGGGUUCCUGUCCAACGUUAAUCGGGGCAGGGUGAGUCGACCCCUAAGGCGAGGCCGAAAGGCGUAGUCGAUGGGAAACAGGUUAAUAUUCCUGUACUUGGUGUUACUGCGAAGGGGGGACGGAGAAGGCUAUGUUGGCCGGGCGACGGUUGUCCCGGUUUAAGCGUGUAGGCUGGUUUUCCAGGCAAAUCCGGAAAAUCAAGGCUGAGGCGUGAUGACGAGGCACUACGGUGCUGAAGCAACAAAUGCCCUGCUUCCAGGAAAAGCCUCUAAGCAUCAGGUAACAUCAAAUCGUACCCCAAACCGACACAGGUGGUCAGGUAGAGAAUACCAAGGCGCUUGAGAGAACUCGGGUGAAGGAACUAGGCAAAAUGGUGCCGUAACUUCGGGAGAAGGCACGCUGAUAUGUAGGUGAAGUCCCUCGCGGAUGGAGCUGAAAUCAGUCGAAGAUACCAGCUGGCUGCAACUGUUUAUUAAAAACACAGCACUGUGCAAACACGAAAGUGGACGUAUACGGUGUGACGCCUGCCCGGUGCCGGAAGGUUAAUUGAUGGGGUCAGCGCAAGCGAAGCUCUUGAUCGAAGCCCCGGUAAACGGCGGCCGUAACUAUAACGGUCCUAAGGUAGCGAAAUUCCUUGUCGGGUAAGUUCCGACCUGCACGAAUGGCGUAAUGAUGGCCAGGCUGUCUCCACCCGAGACUCAGUGAAAUUGAACUCGCUGUGAAGAUGCAGUGUACCCGCGGCAAGACGGAAAGACCCCGUGAACCUUUACUAUAGCUUGACACUGAACAUUGAGCCUUGAUGUGUAGGAUAGGUGGGAGGCUUUGAAGUGUGGACGCCAGUCUGCAUGGAGCCGACCUUGAAAUACCACCCUUUAAUGUUUGAUGUUCUAACGUGGACCCGUAAUCCGGGUUGCGGACAGUGUCUGGUGGGUAGUUUGACUGGGGCGGUCUCCUCCUAAAGAGUAACGGAGGAGCACGAAGGUUGGCUAAUCCUGGUCGGACAUCAGGAGGUUAGUGCAAUGGCAUAAGCCAGCUUGACUGCGAGCGUGACGGCGCGAGCAGGUGCGAAAGCAGGUCAUAGUGAUCCGGUGGUUCUGAAUGGAAGGGCCAUCGCUCAACGGAUAAAAGGUACUCCGGGGAUAACAGGCUGAUACCGCCCAAGAGUUCAUAUCGACGGCGGUGUUUGGCACCUCGAUGUCGGCUCAUCACAUCCUGGGGCUGAAGUAGGUCCCAAGGGUAUGGCUGUUCGCCAUUUAAAGUGGUACGCGAGCUGGGUUUAGAACGUCGUGAGACAGUUCGGUCCCUAUCUGCCGUGGGCGCUGGAGAACUGAGGGGGGCUGCUCCUAGUACGAGAGGACCGGAGUGGACGCAUCACUGGUGUUCGGGUUGUCAUGCCAAUGGCACUGCCCGGUAGCUAAAUGCGGAAGAGAUAAGUGCUGAAAGCAUCUAAGCACGAAACUUGCCCCGAGAUGAGUUCUCCCUGACCCUUUAAGGGUCCUGAAGGAACGUUGAAGACGACGACGUUGAUAGGCCGGAUGUGUAAGCGCAGCGAUGCGUUGAGCUAACCGGUACUAAUGAACCGUGAGGCUUAACCUU
rnacentral:rRNA from 1 species